rnacentral:lncRNA from 1 species
CGCGGCUGUGUCCGCGGCCUAUUUUUGGCACACGGAGGUGCCUCGCGAAGUCUCGCGCCAUUCCGAGACCAGAGGAUGAAGUUGGCCAGCCCCACCCCCCAAGGCUGUAGCCCACCCGUUUUUGUGGCCUUUUUCCGCUGGACAAACUUGGCGCCCCAGCCUUCGGGCAGUGAUUUUUGGGCGCGGCUGUGCCCGAAGCCUAUUUUUGGCACACGGAGGCCCCUCGCAAAGUCUCGCGCCAUUCCGAGUCCGGCGGACGAAGUUGGCCAGCCCCACCCCCCAAGGCUAUAGCCAACCCGUUUUUGUGGCCUUUUUCCGCUGGACGAACUUGGUGCCCCAGCCUUCGGCCGGUUAUUUUUGGGCGCAGCUUUGCCCGCGGCCUAUUUACUGCACACGGAGACCGCUCAUAAAGUCUCGUGGCAUUCCGAGUCCAGCGGACGAACUUGGCCAGCCCACCCCCCAAGGCUAUAGCCCACCCGUUGUUGUGGCCUUUUUCCGCUGGACGAACUUGGCUCCCCGGCCUUCGGGCGGUGAUUUUUGGGCGCGGCUGUGCCCGAAGCCUAUUUUUGGCACACGGAGGUGCCUCACGAAGUCUCGCGCCAUUCCGAGUCAUGCGGACGAAGUUGGCCAGCCCCACUCCCCAAGGCUAUAGCCCACCCGUUUUUGUGGCCUUUUUCCGCUGGACGAACUUGGCGCCCCGGCCUUCGGGCGGUUAUUUUUGGGCGCGGCUUUGCCCGCAGCCUAUUUUCUGCACACGGAGUC